AGAAAAGAAAAAAGAAAAUGAAAUAGAUGAACAGAAUUGACUAGUACUGCGCUUGAUUUGGGCCUUAAGCAGCUUCUUCCAGGCAAGAGGACCAGUGCAGCUUUCUUGCAACCAAAGAUCUUGAUCCACAUCCAGAGAUUGGAAUAUUGGUGGGCCAGCCAUCCUCAGACACCUCACUUAGGACAGCCCCUGGAAACGAGCAUUCUGCUUUCUGUCUAUGAAUU